rnacentral:tRNA from 1 species
GUAUAUGUAGUUAAGUGAUAGAAUUCUCGCCUUCUAUGUAGGAGACCCAGGUUCGAUUCCAGGCUAUUACA